CAGUAGCCACGGUAAUACGUAGGGUGCAAGCGUUAAUCGGAAUUACUGGGCGCAAAGCGUGCGCAGGCGGUUAUAUAAGUCAGAUGUGAAAUCCCCGGGCUCAACCUGGGAACUGCAUUUGUGACUGUAUAGCUAGAGUACGGUAGAGGGGGAUGGAAUUCCGCGUGUAGCAGUGAAAUGCGUAGAUAUGCGGAGGAACACCGAUGGCGAAGGCAAUCCCCUGGACCUGUACUGACGCUCAUGCACGAAAGCGUGGGGAGCAAACAGGAUUAGAUACCCCCGUAGUCCCUGUCUCUUAUAC
rnacentral:rRNA from 1 species